AGGACGACGCUGGCGGCGUGCUAACACAUGCAAGUCGAACGGGGAUUACCGAGCGGAAGGUUCGGCCGGAAGGUUGGUAAUUCGAGUGGCGGACGGGUGAGUAACGCGUGAGCAACCUGUCCCAGACAGGGGGAUAACACUUGGAAACAGGUGCUAAUACCGCAUAAGACCACGGGGUCGCAUGGCUCUGGGGUAAAAGGAGCGAUCCGGUUUGGGGUGGGCUCGCGUCCGAUUAGAUAGUUGGUGAGGUAACGGCCCACCAAGUCGACGAUCGGUAGCCGACCUGAGAGGGUGAUCGGCCACAUUGGAACUGAGAGACGGUCCAAACUCCUACGGGAGGCAGCAGUGGGGAAUAUUGGGCAAUGGGCGAAAGCCCUGACCCAGCAACGCCGCGUGAGUGCAGAAGGCCUUCGGGUUGUAAAGCUCUGUUAUAGGGGACGAAGGAAGUGACGGUACCCUAUAAGGAAGCCCCGGCUAACUACGUGCCAGCAGCGGC
rnacentral:rRNA from 1 species